CGGUUUGAUCAGUCUUCCGGGAAAUCUGACAGCUCAACUGUUAGGCUUCUGGGGGAUACUGUCAGACUUGGAACCGGGAGAGGUAAGAGGUACUACAGGGGUAGGAGUGAAAUCUUGUAAUCCUUGUGGGACCACCAGUGGCGAAGGCGUCUUACCAGAACGGGUUCGACGGUGAGGGACGAAAGCUGGGGGCACGAACCGGAUUAGAUACCCGGGUAGUCCCAGCCGUAAACGAUGCUCGCUAGGUGUCUGGGAUGGUGCGACCGUUUCAGGUGCCGCAGGGAAGCCGUGAAGCGAGCCACCUGGGAAGUACGGCCGCAAGGCUGAAACUUAAAGGAAUUGGCGGGGGAGCACUACAACGGGUGGAGCCUGCGGUUUAAUUGGACUCAACGCCGGAAAACUCACCUGGGGCGACAGCAAUAUGUAGGUCAGGCUGAAGGUCUUACCUGAAUCGCUGAGAGGAGGUGCAUGGCCGUCGUCAGUUCGUACUGUGAAGCAUCCUGUUAAGUCAGGCAACGAGCGAGACCCGUGCCCACUGUUGCCAGCAUAUCCUUCGGGAUGAUGGAUACUCUGUGGGGACCGCCGCUGCUAAAGCGGAGGAAGGUACGGGCUACGGUAGG
rnacentral:rRNA from 1 species